GCUGCUAGAAGACAGGUUUAUUGAUACAAAAACUGCAAUGUUUCGGACUACACAGAGGCUUUUAUGAAACGUGAUAAAUUCCCCUGUGUAGGCCGAAGCGUGCAGUUUUUGUUUCAAUAAUGCUGCCUUCCUGCGGC